CGGCCCCCCCGGGCUGUCUAGGAUAAGCACUAUACUGUGAAACUGCGAAUGGCUCAUUAAAUCAGUUAUCGUUUAUUUGAUAGUGCCCUUACUACUUGGAUAACCGUGGUAAUUCUAGAGCUAAUACAUGCAUAAAACCCCGACUCACGGAGGGGUGUAUUUAUUAGAUAAAAAACCAAUGCCCUUCGGGGCUGCUUGGUGAAUCAUAAUAACGCAACGAAUCGCAUGGCCUUGCGCCGGCGAUGGUUCAUUCAAAUUUCUGCCCUAUCAACUUUCGAUUGUAGUUUAGUGGACUACAAUGGUUUCAACGGGUAACGGGGAAUUAGGGUUCGACUCCGGAGAGGGAGCCUGAGAAACGGCUACCACAUCCAAGGAAGGCAGCAGGCGCGCAAAUUACCCAAUCCCGACACGGGGAGGUAGUGACAAUAAAUACUGAUACAGGGCUCUUUUGGGUCUUGUAAUUGGAAUGAGUACAAUUUAAAUCCCUUAACGAGGAACAAUUGGAGGGCAAGUCUGGUGCCAGCAGCCGCGGUAAUUCCAGCUCCAAUAGCGUAUAUUAAAGUUGUUGCAGUUAAAAAGCUCGUAGUUGAACCUUGGGCCUGGCUGACCGGUCCGCCUCACCGCGUGCACUGGUUCGGCCGGGCCUUUCCUUCUGCGGAACGGCAUGCCCUUCACUGGGCGUGUCUCGGGAAGCAGGACUUUUACUUUGAAAAAAUUAGAGUGUUCAAAGCAGGCCUUUGCUCGAAUACAUUAGCAUGGAAUAAUGGAAUAGGACGGCGCUCCUAUUUUGUUGGUUUCUAGGAGAGCCGUAAUGAUUAAUAGGGACAGUUGGGGGGCAUCCGUAUUCAGUUGUCAGAGGUGAAAUUCUUGGAUUUACUGAAGACGAACUACUGCGAAAGCAUUUGCCAAAGAUGUUUUCAUUA
rnacentral:rRNA from 1 species